CGGCGGUUGAAUUGCCAUGGCAAUGCGGUGGGCGCGCGCUUGUCGUGUUGGUCUCUUGGGAGGUAGCGGGGCUAGGCCGGGCGGGUAUCCGCCUCUCCCAGCUUAGGUGAGCGUCCCCGGGCGCCUCCGGAGCGCCGCGGCCGCAUGCAGUUCGUCGUGGCGGGGAGCCGGAGCCUGACCGGGGUUCCAGCGCUCGGGCCGUAGCCUUGGCUCCUGGACUUUCCCUGGCUCCGCCGCCACGUGGGAGCUGAGGCUCUGGGGCUUCCGCCUCCGGCGCGCGAUUAUUUCUCUAGAACAGUUUUCAUUUUUAAAAUUUGUAAAGCGCUUUUGCCUGUGUGAUUUCCUCUGGGUUUUUUUUUUUUUUCUUCCUUUUUGUAGAGACGGAAUUGGCGGCGGGGGCGGGGGGUCGAUGUCUCACUUUUUUGCCCAGGCUGGUCUCGAACUCCUGGCUUCAAGGGAUCCUCCUGCCUCGGCCUCUUAAAGUGCUGGGAUUACAGGCGUGAGCCACCGCCCCCGGCCGCCUCUGAGUUUCCAGCCUCGUUGGCCCUCCAGCCUUUUAACCUGUUGGGCCUAGGAUCAGGAAAGGUUUGUUGAAUGGGGAACUAAGAAGUGAAUUCGUUCGUUCGACAAACGUUUCCUGAGCAGCCGCUGGGUGCUAGGCGCAGUGCCAGCGCGGAAUGUCCAGGGAGACCUGGUGCCCAAAGCUUGGACCCAUCGUGAGAAAUGAGAAGCAGAUACAAAGCAGUGUGGGAGUGCAGAGGAGACAAAGCAAGCCUCAUCAGGCCCAUUGCUUGCUCUGCUCUCCCUUGUACUUACCAGUGCUUGACAAUAUACAGUUAUUUACUAGCUUGGUUAUUGACUUCCUACCCAGCACUCAGUUUUAUUCACUGCUGUAUCCUCAGUGCCUAGGACGAUGCUUGGAACGUGGUAAGUGCUCCUAUUGGCGGGAAGAAUAAAUCCGGAAGAGCAGGACCAGUGGACUUGCUACAUAAUCUGUAGUCUUGGAGCCGCACAGGGUUGGUGGUACCCUCGAGCACACCAGACUUGCAGAAAAAGCAUACUCCAGAGGAAGCUGAGGCAUGCCUGCUCGAGAGCCAGCUGUUCCAUGUGCAAUUUUCCUCUGAUAGUUUCUGGUCACUGUUGCCACGGUGAUAAUGACUGGGCUAUGUCAUUAUCUAUCCGCCAACAGUAAGAGAAGCUUUGCAGUCGAGAUAUUGUUUAGCAGAUGGAGUGUUUUCUGUUGAACACUAAGUACUGCCACAAGUUACUUUUUUUUUUUUAAACUUUGAGUAUUUUUUUACAAUGUUGCUGGAGGUGAUCUGUUUAUGCUUUGAGAGUGUUCGAAUUUAAAAUCAGAAAAUCAUGUCAGUGAGUGAGUCUUUCAAAUAAUCCUUCGGCAUGAAACCUGAGCCUAGUAAACUAUGAAAGUAAACUCGGCACAUUACCCGAAAGUCUCAAUGUCAUAUUUUCACCCCCAUCAAUAUUAUUGAUGAUUGCUCAUUUUCUAAUGUGGGACCUGAAAUUUACCAGGUGCUUAAAGAAUCUUUUUGUUUUUCAGAUUCAUUGAUUCCAGGUAAAUCAGAGGAACAAGCAACAUGAACAGAAAUAUGUAGAAAAAGCUAUUAUGCAGAAGCAUAAUUGUUGUUUCAGAAGUCCAGCAUCUGGUGCACUUAACAAUAGAGAAUAUAUUAAACUCUUUCCAAAAUAA
rnacentral:lncRNA from 10 species